UACGUAGGGGGCAAGCGUUGUCCGGAUUUAUUGGGCGUAAAGAGCGUGUAGGCGGCCAAGCAGGUCAGCUGUGAAAACUCGAGGCUCAACCUCGAGACGUCGGUUGAAACCGCUUGGCUAGAGUCCGGAAGAGGAGAGUGGAAUUCCCGGUGUAGCGGUGAAAUGCGCAGAUAUCGGGAAGAACACCCGUGGCGAAGGCGGCUCUCUGGGGACGGUACUGACGCUGAGACGCGAAAGCGUGGGGAGCGAACAGG
rnacentral:rRNA from 1 species